UACGUAGGGUGCGAGCGUUGUCCGGAAUUAUUGGGCGUAAAGAGCUCGUAGGCGGUUUGUCGCGUCUGCUGUGAAAACUCGGGGCUUAACCCCGGGCCUGCAGUGGGUACGGGCAGACUAGAGUGCGGUAGGGGAGACUGGAAUUCCUGGUGUAGCGGUGAAAUGCGCAGAUAUCAGGAGGAACACCGGUGGCGAAGGCGGGUCUCUGGGCCGUAACUGACGCUGAGGAGCGAAAGCAUGGGGAGCGAACAGG
rnacentral:rRNA from 1 species